CUAGGUAACAGCAAUUGUCUUUAAUUUGGUAAGGUUCAGUACACAUUUGGCGUUUUAGACAUUUGGACUUCUGAAGAAUACAAAAAUAUGUUUUCAUGAGUUCACUCAUGUUCCGUAGAUUGAGACUUGAGAGAAAGAGAUGGGGAGCAAUUGCUCCAAAGGGAGGAGAGAGGAGAGGGACAUUACCACUUUCUCCAAAAAGAGAAGUUUGUCUUUGGGAAGAAAAAAGGAGUACACUGAAGGGAGGAAAGCAGAGGGCAACAGUGGAGAAACGCUCUUUCAACAAAGGUCAGACCAAUUUCCCUGAAAUGGUUCAAGUCAGUUUUGCCUUGUGUUGUAGUACCAGGUUGAGGACAUAGAGGCCAGUGUUACCUCUAUCUCUCAUUGUCUCUCCUAGUCUUCCUGGCCUACAAUCCCCAGUCUCCCCAGCCUACAAUCCCCAGUCUCCCCAGCCUACAAUCCCCAGUCUCCCCAGCCUACAAUCCCCAGUCUCCCCAGUCUACAAUCCCCAGUCCCCCCAGACCGACAAUCCCCAGUCUUCCCAGCCUACAAUCCCCAGUCUUCCCUCACAGCUGAGGGUGGAAGCAGUCUAUGUGCCCCAGUGAUCAGCAAUAAGGAAGUAGGAGGUAACAUCAACAUCACUCAGAACAACACUCAGAACAACGAUGACUCCUCCCAGGUUGCACAAUGCAGUGCCACGCUAAAAGGUGAGUUGCGUGGUGGUCUGUCUCCAGUAUCCAGAGAGACCCAGAGCGCAUCAAGGAACACACACUACCACCACAAUAUGAAGAUAAAGACAACACAAAGAAGACACAAUACAUAAUGAAUGAUAAAUACAUCUGCUUAAUGCAUUAUUAUGAUGCAUGACAUAGGAGCUAACAGGUUAUUUUGCAUUGCGUAUUAUGCAGAUGAAUGCACAUAUAAUGCAUUAUGAAGAGGGUAUUCAUAGGAGGUGUUACCAUAGGAGGUGUUACCAUAGGAGGUGUUACCAUAGCCAUAGGAGGUGUUA